UACCCUAAUUUUGUCCCACUCUUUUUCCAUUUCUUUCUUUUUUUUCGUUCUUUUCUUUGUUAGGCUAAAUUCAUCUGAUACACCAUACUUGUUGACUUUUCCACACGUUUACUUUGAUCAUAAUUGUUGACUUUAUCAAUACCAAUGACUUUUAAUUAUUAUUGAUUUUUCCUCAUUGAUUGGAUGUUAUUGACUUUGAAUCGUUAUGAACAUUAAUCAUUGUUGAUUAUUUCCUUAUUAUUUUCACUUUGACAAUUCUUUGACUU
rnacentral:lncRNA from 1 species